AAGACCUGUUUAAAUCAGAGAAGCUCCAGGAAUGUGUCACUGUUUAACCAGUCCUUACAAGUAUUUUGAGAAGAAAAAUGUUUCCUCGUUGACUUAGAAGCUUUGAUUAUGCUGGUCCUCAAAAUAAAUACUUGUUCUCAAGUUAAUUUUACCACUGGGGCCUCGACUGUUCCCAGUUGUCCCUCCUCCCAUCCACUCGAAUAGGUCCCUGACCAUACAUGGUGUUAGUUGAAGAAAGCAGCAGCUCAGAGAGCUGGAGGAAGAAGUGAUCUGCCAUUUAAACAAGCCUGCGUGUGAAAGGGAGGACCCUGUAACAUGGACUCGGUAGCACUGACUGGCCAAGUAACUCCUCCACCGCAAACAUUUACACUGUAAUAGGCUAGUGUGGAGCUAAAAAUGGCCUCUGGAACUAUAACUGCUGAGAAACAGAAACUUCAGCUGCACUGUAUGUUUCGCUCAGCUUGUGAAGACUUGAAUCGACUUUUACUGCAAAUAGGAGUUUUUGGGUGUGUAUGUUGAAAGACGACAUUUGUUACAAGGUGCCAGUGAGUCAUGUAGUGAUACAAGCAUCAAUGAAUUGAGGAUACAACGUUCUUUAAGUUACACAUCAAACAGUUUCUUUAACAGCUUCGGUUAACAUUUCAACUUGUUCUUUAAAUACACACUGAUUUCAAGGAAUUUUAAAUAGCGUAAAUCUGGGUAUAAAUACCCAAAGGACUGUGUCUGAUUCAUGAAGUAGGUGUUUUCGAUGACAUUUGAGUUUGUAGAGGGGGAUAUGAUGACACAAUUCAUGCGAUGUUAUUCUAAUGAAGUGAGAGACAGCCUUCCUUCCUACAUUUUCAACACAAACUGACAGUGCAUGAAAUAUAUCACUCCAAACAGUCCUCACUGAAAAAAGGACAUUCAUGAAGGUUUUUUAAUAGCCUUUAUGUGCAUAUGAGACAGCCAUGAACCAUAAUUCUCAUCAUAAUGUGUUUUAUGGUCCCUAUCUGGCUUUAUCUGUCUCUAUUUCUUUUUAUCUCUCACUAUCAAAGAUGUGUGACGAUUUAUGAGCUUACAUAUUGUGCAUCACAAAAGCGGAAUUCAUUUCUGCUUUCACAUUCACAUAGCCCACUGCGUAUUGUAAUUUACAGUUUUGAAAGUUUCGGUUUUGCACUUUGACAUAGGGAAAUUAAAUCUGACUAAUCAAACAAAGGAUUAUUUAUACACUAUAUCUUUAAGUACUAUGCAGAAUUCAGUUUAUGGCUAGUUAAAUUAAAUAGUAGUCAAAAUAUGGGUUAUAUACUUAAGUAAAAACAAAACAUACUCAUUCUUUAUAGCAAAUAUAAUUAUAUAAAAUAUAGAUUUAAAAUUACUAAGAUUUUGUAUUUUGGGGGUUUUAAUAUUUCAUUAAACAAUCCUAAUUUUUAAUAUUUAGGACUUUUCUGUUUAUAAAGCAAUCUUAAGCCUCAUUUUUCUUCCGUUUUCAUGCUUUAAAAUCACUGAAUUAAAAUGUAAUAAAAAUAUAUAUUUUAAAAUCUAUUUUUAUUAUUUUAAAAAUUUUAUGAAUAAUAAAAUAUGGUAAAACUUACCAUCAAACAAAAAUGUACAAAAUAUACACAAAUUAAAUUCAUGCCCUGUCUGUGAAAAGUCUGCGCUACAGUAUGUCUUAUUGCCUUAUGAAUAAUGUAAACUGGAUAAAUGAAUGAUAAACUGAUGUAAAACCGCAAAUAUGAUGGAAAGUAACCCCAAUACUGUUCAAAUGCUUAUUAUCAACCCGCUUCCUGCACUUUCUGACUCUUUUUAAUCUCUCUAGCUAUUCCUUGUGGAUUUAUACUCCCAUAUAAAUCUUACCAUAGAUCUUCAUCAUCCUGGCAAAGUGAGCACACCCUUCUGUCUUUUUGAGUAAUAUUAAAGGCACAGUUCACCCAAAAUGUGAAUUCUGUAAUUAUUUGCAAAAGCAGAAAUUUUGCAGAAUGUUGAUGCUGUUCUUUUUCAUAAAAUGAGUGAAUGGUGAUCAAAUAGUAAAUAGCAAAAUAAAAUAUGUAUUUGUAAAUGUUAUAGCUUGUAUUCACUUUCACAAAAUAAAACAACCAAAACAAA